rnacentral:lncRNA from 10 species
UUCUGAAGCCCAGGAAGUAGUGUGGACUUCUGCACUUCACCUUGACUUAUACUGCUCUCCUUCCACCCCCCAAGCAGCUACUGCAUCCAUCAUGAAGUAAUCUGGUUACCGUCACCCAAGUGCCCUCUCCAACCUUUCAAACAUUCUGAAUAACCUAAAACUUCUACGGACCACAGACUGAGAUGAACCUAAAAAAGAAGUUUCUGACCUCUGUUGUGGUGUAAAAUGACGCCUUAACCUGGGCUUCACAGAAAACAGAGCCUGGAGCAAUAGCGUAUGUGCUUCUAUUUGAUUGGAGAGUGAAAGCCCAGAUCCAGGAGGACUUUCCUCACUUUCAUAAGGUGAUCAAGUUUAGAGAAACGUAGCAGAGGCUACAGGAAAGUAAAUGUUUGCAUAUAUGUGAGCAGCUGUGACAUACCCCAGGAGAUUCAAGCCCUGAUGAAGCUGGUGAAAACACUGUGACUGAAGGUGAAAGGAGAAAGGACUGGUUAGAAGGGAGGAUGGACAAAAGCUCAGAGAAAAGGCAGUGAGUGAAAGAACAGAGAAGGAUACAACAGUAGGAGCAGAGCCAGACGUAACGGCCUUUCUUCCUGAGACAGAAACUUCCUCUGAGGUCCUGUGCACACAUGCCAAUUUGACAUUUCAUCCUGAGAACCUGUGUUUGGGAUGAUCAAUUGGUUCAAAAGUUACUAAAAUGUAAAAGCAGAAGUAGAUUACCUCCCUCCCCCUCAUGCAAAGGCCAACUCCUGUAGAAAGAUCAACAAGUAUUUUUCAUCCCACUGUGAAGACUUGGCCCAGUAAAUGUUCACAUAGAUGAGCUGAGCUUUGUCCUGCGGCUUCCUCCCACCCCAGAGUGACUCAGCUCCCGCUAAAGAAAAAUCUGUGUGUGAAAUCAUGUUUCCCUAACACUCUAUACUCCUCAUAUAUCCACAUUUAAC